GAUGAACGCUGGCGGCGUGCUUAACACAUGCAAGUCGAACGGUGAAGGCGGAGCUUGCUCUGCUGGAUCAGUGGCGAACGGGUGAGUAACACGUGAGCAAUCUGCCCCUGACUCUGGGAUAAGCGCUGGAAACGGCGUCUAAUACUGGAUACGAGCUGCGAAGGCAUCUUCAGCAGCUGGAAAGAACUUCGGUCAGGGAUGAGCUCGCGGCCUAUCAGCUUGUUGGUGAGGUAACGGCUCACCAAGGCGUCGACGGGUAGCCGGCCUGAGAGGGUGACCGGCCACAGUGGGACUGAGACACGGCCCAGACUCCUACGGGAGGCAGCAGUGGGGAAUAUUGCACAAUGGGCGAAGGCCUGAUGCAGCAACGCCGCGUGAGGGACGACGGCCUUCGGGUUGUAAACCUCUUUUAGCAGGGAAGAAGCGAAAGUGACGGUACCUGCAGAAAAAGCGCCGGCUAACUACGU
rnacentral:rRNA from 1 species